UAAAGCGUGCGCAGGCGGUUAUGUAAGACAGAUGUGAAAUCCCGGGCUCAACCUGGGAACUGCAUUUGUGACUGCAUGGCUAGAGUACGGUAGAGGGGGAUGGAAUUCCGCGUGUAGCAGUGAAAUGCGUAGAUAUGCGGAGGAACACCGAUGGCGAAGGCAAUCCCCUGGACCUGUACUGACGCUCAUGCACGAAAGCGUGGGGAGCAAACAGGAUUAGAUACCCGUGU
rnacentral:rRNA from 1 species